rnacentral:rRNA from 1 species
GAUGAACGCUAGCGACAGGCCUAACACAUGCAAGUCGAGGGGCAGCAUGAAAGUAGCUUGCUACUUUUGAUGGCGACCGGCGCACGGGUGCGUAACAGGUGUGCAAUCUGUCCAUAAUCGGGGAAUAGCCCAGCGAAAGUUGGAUUAAUGCUCCAUGUGAGUUUUAGAGGCAUCUCUUUAACUUGAAACGUAAGGAUUAUGGGUGAGCACGCUUCUGAUUAGGUAGUUGGUGAGGUAACGGCUCACCAAGCCGACGAUCAGUAGGGGUUCUGAGAGGAAGGUCCCCCACAUUGGAACUGAGACACGGUCCAAACUCCUACGGGAGGCAGCAGUGAGGAAUAUUGGUCAAUGGACGCAAGUCUGAACCAGCCAAGUCGCGUGAAGGAUGAAGGUUCUAUGGAUUGUAAACUUCUUUUGUCUGAGGGUAAAAAAGCGGACGUGUCCGUUCUUGCAAGUAUCAGACGAAUAAGCAUCGGCUAACUCCGUGCCAGCCGCCGCCGUAA